UGGGGAAUAUUGCACAAUGGGCGCAAGCCUGAUGCAGCCAUGCCGCGUGUAUGAAGAAGGCCUUCGGGUUGUAAAGUACUUUCAGUCGGGAGGAAGGUGGUAAGGUUCAUAACCUUAUCAAUUGACGUUACCGACAGAAGAAGCACCGACUAACUUCGUGCCAGCAGCCGCGGUUAUACGGAGGGUGCGAGUGUUAAUCGGCAUCACUGGGCGUAAAGCGCCUGCAGUCGGUUUGUUAAGUCAGAUGUGAAAUCCCCGGGCUAAACCUGGGAAAUGCAUCUGAUACUGGCUAGCUUGAGUCUCGUAGAGGGGGGUAGAAUUCUGGAUGUAGCGAUGAAAUGCGUAAAGAUCUGGAGGAAUACCGGUAGCGAAAGCGGCCACCUGAACGAAGACUGACGCUCAGGUGCGAAAGAGUGGGGAGCAAACAGG
rnacentral:rRNA from 1 species